GUGCUUGCUUCAGCAGUACAUAUACUAAAAUUGGAAUGCUACAGAAAAGAUUAGCAUGGCCCUUGCACAAAGAUGACAUGCAAAUUCAUGAAGCAUUCCAUAGUUUU
rnacentral:snRNA from 1 species